rnacentral:rRNA from 1 species
UGGGGAAUAUUGGGCAAUGGGCGAAAGCCUUACCCAGCAACGCCGCGUGAGGGAAGAAGGUUUUCGGAUUGUAAACCUCUGUCCUGGGGGACGAAGGAAGUGACGGCUACCCCGGGAGGAACGCCCCGGCUAACUACGUGCCAGCAGCCGCGGUAAUACGUAGGGGGCGAGCGUUGUCCGGAAUUAUUGGGCGUAAAGGGCGCGUAGACGGCCGAGUAAGUUAUAGGUGAAAGCCCAUCUUUCAAGGAUGGAAUUGCCUGUAAUACUGCCUGGCUUGAGUGCAGGAGAGGGAAGCGGAAUUCCUAGUGUAGCGGUGAAAUGCGUAGAUAUUAGGAGGAACACCAGUGGCGAAGGCGGCUUUCUGGACUGUAACUGACGUUGAGGCGCGAAAGCGUGGGGAGCAAACAGGAUUAGAUACC